AACGAACGCUGGCGGCAGGCCUAACACAUGCAAGUCGAGCGCGCCCUUCGGGGUGAGCGGCGGACGGGUGAGUAACGCGUGGGAACGUGCCCUUUUCUACGGAAUAGCCUCGGGAAACUGAGAGUAAUACCGCAUACGCCCUUUGGGGGAAAGAUUUAUCGGAAAAGGAUCGGCCCGCGUUGGAUUAGGUAGUUGGUGGGGUAAUGGCCUACCAAGCCGACGAUCCAUAGCUGGUUUGAGAGGAUGAUCAGCCACACUGGGACUGAGACACGGCCCAGACUCCUACGGGAGGCAGCAGUGGGGAAUCUUAGACAAUGGGGGCAACCCUGAUCGAGCCAUGCCGCGUGAGUGAUGAAGGCCUUAGGGUUGUAAAGCUCUUUCAGCUGGGAAGAUAAUGACGGUACCAGCAGAAGAAGCCCCGGCUAACUCCGUG
rnacentral:rRNA from 1 species